AACAGGAUUAGAUACCCUGGUAGUCCACGCUGUAAACGAUGAGUACUAGGUGUCGGGGGUUACCCCCCUCGGUGCCGCAGCUAACGCAUUAAGUACUCCGCCUGGGGAGUACGCACGCAAGUGUGAAACUCAAAGGAAUUGACGGGGACCCGCACAAGUAGCGGAGCAUGUGGUUUAAUUCGAAGCAACGCGAAGAACCUUACCUAAGCUUGACAUCCCUCGGACAGGUGUUUAAUCACACUCUUCCUUCGGGACUGAGGUGACAGGUGGUGCAUGGUUGUCGUCAGCUCGUGUCGUGAGAUGUUGGGUUAAGUCCCGCAACGAGCGCAACCCUUGUCUUUAGUUGCCAGCAUUCAGUUGGGCACUCUAGAGAGACUGCCAGGGAUAACCUGGAGGAAGGUGGGGAUGACGUCAAAUCAUCAUGCCCCUUAUGCUUAGGGCUACACACGUGCUACAAUGGGUGGUACAGAGGGUUGCCAAACCGUGAGGUGGAGCCAAUCCCUUAAAGCCAUUCUCAGUUCGGAUUGUAGGCUGAAACUCGCCUACAUGAAGCUGGAGUUACUAGUAAUCGCAGAUCAGAAUGCUGCGGUGAAUGCGUUCCCGGGUCUUGUACACACCGCCCGUCACACCACGGGAGUCGGAAACACCCGAAGCCGAUUAUCCAACCGCAAGGAGGAAGUCGUCGAAGGUGGCGUCGAUAACUGGGGUGAAGUCGUAACAAGGUAACC
rnacentral:rRNA from 1 species